ensembl:lincRNA Gm9866 predicted gene 9866
CUUUUAGCCGGCACACUUUGCAGGGGUUGGUUGUACGUAGCUUGGGGUAUGAGCAUUGUGGCAUCAUGGGACAUUGUUUCAGCCUGCGACUUGAGGGUUAUGAGCUGGGGAAGAGACAGUUAAAGCUUCCACGCACCAGCAAGAUGAGUUGUACCACACAGCGCCCAUGCCAAGGUCAGCAGUCUGAAUGGAGCUGAGACACUUACUGCCCAUGCCAAGCAGUGCCAAGCACCUCUGGAAGCCCCUGCCUAGGACCCCCAAAUUUAGAUUCAUGCUGCAGUCUGGAGAGUGUUUUGACGGCUGCCGGGCUACAGGGAAAAGCGCACUGCACACUGCCUCUGAGAUGAGACAGAGCUCUCCAGGCUGGGAGUCUGAGGAAGCCGGCCGGACCUGGGUAGCGCUGCUCAGGGAAAAGCGGAGCCCUGUUCAGCAUUGGUCAUCAGGUUACAGGGGCAUCACUUCCUUUAUCCAGCAUCCUGCCUCCACACCAUGUGAAGAAACCAACCCACUUUCCAAUGGCAAACCCAAGUUCAUGCAGACCAUAUUCUCCAACGUCUGUACUUCCCCUACCAGUUGGAUCUGUGUUCUUUUGCAGUUCUGGGCACUUUUCAAGACUCUACUGACUAAAUCUGCAAAGAGUGUCGAUAAUGCGACUCAUAAGCUGGCUUUCUGAGCUAUCAUGAUGUCUUUCCCUCUCUUUGUGCCCAAGACCGUGUGCUCUCUUGCCUUUGAAGAUCCAUGAUGUUUGAAACUCAUGAGACCCAAGGCAGAAGUGUCCAGACAACUAGGAGCUGCUUGCAUUCGCAAGCCAGGACUUGACUGGAGGGAAUACAAUAGAGGUGCAGACACUUCUGUGCUAACCUGUGAGUGCCUUUGGACCAUGAAAAUAAUGUGUCUGUGGGAAAGACAAUGGGUGGUUGCUUGUUGAUGCCUCCUGGGGUGCUGUUUGAUGAGCUCUGAAAUACGCACUCUGCUCACACACAGGGUCACAGAAGGCAUGGGGAUCUUAAGUGCACUCGUUCUAGGGUCAUCAGUGAGCUGACACUAUGUGCAGAUGAGCCCCUCUGCUUCUCCUGGAAUCAUCAUUAGAUGGCCAGAAAGGAUCUCCGUGUUGGACUCCUCCAUUCUGAUACAUCCUGUCUUCAGGGAUAGAAAAUGUUCCUGGGGGAACACGGGAGCUAAAGAAACCUCAGCUUUUCUCGAGUGUCUGGAUUAUUCUGAAUUACAUGGAUUAUGUUCAAGCCCAGGAUGAGUGGCUCAAAGCGUGGCUGUGAGUGAGUGAGACGAAGAAAAAUUGGGAUCAUAUUUUAUUCAACCAAGAGAAAUGGAAUCCAGCAUAGUAGAUUUCAUGUUCUUGGGAAAUAUGUCCUGUCAAUGGUGUUAUUGAGAAGAUAGGCAGAGAACACGUUCUCCCAGACAAGGAAGAGAAGAAGAUGUGGCCUUGGCUUUGUGAGCUGUGGCAGGGAGGGACCUAGCAUGGGAGCAAAGGUCUCUGGAAGCUUCCAGACAAACAAGUGUGGGUGUCCUUUGUCAGCUCCCUGAGAGUGGGUAUCGCAGAAGACUUCCUGUGUUUUCUGUGGAUAAAUACACAAAACUAUGCAUUACUGCAACACAAGCAGGCUUUAUACAUUUCUUUGGUUUUAACAAUUGCAUUAGAAACUUUGCUCUCCCCUGAAUCCUAAGAGGUGUGUUGUUGUCGUGGUUGUUUGUUUUUGCUUUUUUUUUUUUUCAAAUAGAGACAAAUACAGGAGAGAAGG